rnacentral:rRNA from 1 species
GGUUUANNNNNNNGCNACGNANGCANCUCCGGCCGCCAUGGCCGCGGGUAUUGAGUUUGAUUAUGGCUCAGGAUAAACGCUGGCGGCGUGCCUAACACAUGCAAGUCGAACGCUCUGCGCAAGCAGGGAGUGGCGGACGGGUGAGGAACACGUGGGCAUCUCCCUUUUGGUGAGGAAUACCGGCGAGAAAUCGCCGACAAUACCGCAUACGCUUCGCUUUGCGAAGCAAAGCUCGUAAGGGCGCCAGAAGAUGAGCCUGCGGCUGAUUAGCUAGUUGGUGGGGUAAGAGCCUACCAAGGCGACGAUCAGUAGCUGGUCUGAGAGGACGAUCAGCCACACUGGGAUUGAGAACGGCCCAGACUCCUACGGGGGGCAGCAGUGAGGAAUUUUCGUCAAUGGGGGAAACCCUGAACGAGUAACGCCGCGUGCAGGAAGACGGCCUUCGGGUUGUAAACUGCUUUUCUCUGGGACGAGUAGGGACGGUACCAGAGGAAUCAGCCUCGGCUAACUACGUGCCAGCAGCCGCGGUAAUACGUAGGAGGCAAGCGUUGUCCGGAGUUAUUGGGCGUAAAGCGCACGCAGGCGGUCCUGUCAGUCUAGGGUGACAGUUCCCGGCUUCACCGGGAAAGUGCUCUGGAAACUGCAGGACUUGAGGGCUUCAGAGGGAUGUGGAAUUCCAGGUGGAGUGGUGAAAUGCGUAGAGAUCUGGAAGAACACCAAAGGCGAAGGCAGCAUCCUGGGAAGUUCCUGACGCUCGGGUGCGAAAGCCAGGGGAGCGAACGGGAUUAGAUACCCCGGUAGUCCUGGCCGUAAACGAUGACCACUAGACGUUGGGGGUAUCGACCCCCUCAGUGUCGUAGUUAACACGCUAAGUGGUCCGCCUGGGGAGUACGGUCGCAAGAUUAAAACUCAAAGGAAUUGACGGGGACCCGCACAAGCAGCGGAACGUGUGGUUUAAUUCGAUGCACCGCGAAGAACCUUACCAGGCUUUGACAUGUAGUCGCACCAUCCGUAAUGGGAUGUGCCCGCAAGGGACGGUUACACAGGUGCUGCAUGGCUGUCGUCAGCUCGUGUCGUGAGAUGUUGGGUUAAGUCCCGCAACGAGCGCAACCCCUGUCGUCGGUUAUGGGUGUCCGAGGAGACUGCCACGAUCAACGUGGAGGAAGGCGGGGAUGACGUCAAGUCAGCACGGCCCUUACAGCCUGGGCGACACACACGCUACAAUGGUCGGGACAAUGGGUCGCCAACCCGCGAGGGGGAGCCAGUCCCAACAAACCCGAUCUCAGUUCAGAUUGCAGGCUGCAACCCGCCUGCAUGAAGUGGGAGUUGCUAGUAACCGUGAGUCAGCACAUCACGGUGAAUACGUUCCCGGGUCUUGUACACACCGCCCGUCACACCACGAAAGUCGGCAACCCCUGAAGCCGCCGGGCUAACCUUUUGACUGAGGAGGCAGGCGUCGAGGGUGGGGUCGGUGAUUGGGGUGAAGUCGUAACAAGGUAGC